rnacentral:rRNA from 1 species
UACGUAGGGUGCAAGCGUUGUCCGGAAUUAUUGGGCGUAAAGAGCUCGUAGGCGGUUUGUCGCGUCGAAUGUGAAACCCGCGGCUCAACCGCGUGGCUUGCAGUCGAUACGGGCAGGCUAGAAUUCGGUAGGGGAGACUGGAAUUCCUGGUGUAGCGGUGAAAUGCGCAGAUAUCAGGAGGAACACCGGUGGCGAAGGCGGGUCUCUGGGCCGAUAUUGACGCUGAGGAGCGAAAGCGUGGGGAGCGAACAGG